rnacentral:rRNA from 1 species
AGAGUUUGAUCCUGGCUCAGGACGAACGCUGGCGGCGUGCCUAAUACAUGCAAGUCGAGCGGACAGAUGGGAGCUUGCUCCCUGAUGUUAGCGGCGGACGGGUGAGUAACACGUGGGUAACCUGCCUGUAAGACUGGGAUAACUCCGGGAAACCGGGGCUAAUACCGGAUGGUUGUUUGAACCGCAUGGUUCAAACAUAAAAGGUGGCUUCGGCUACCACUUACAGAUGGACCCGCGGCGCAUUAGCUAGUUGGUGAGGUGACGGCUCACCAAGGCAACGAUGCGUAGCCGACCUGAGAGGGUGAUCGGCCACACUGGGACUGAGACACGGCCCAGACUCCUACGGGAGGCAGCAGUAGGGAAUCUUCCGCAAGGGACGAAAGUCUGACGGAGCAACGCCGCGUGAGUGAUGAAGGUUUUCGGAUCGUAAAGCUCUGUUGUUAGGGAAGAACAAGUACCGUUCGAAUAGGGCGGUACCUUGACGGUACCUAACCAGAAAGCCACGGCUAACUACGUGCCAGCAGCCGCGGUAAUACGUAGGUGGCAAGCGUUGUCCGGAAUUAUUGGGCGUAAAGGGCUCGCAGGCGGUUUCUUAAGUCUGAUGUGAAAGCCCCCGGCUCAACCGGGGAGGGUCAUUGGAAACUGGGGAACUUGAGUGCAGAAGAGGAGAGUGGAAUUCCACGUGUAGCGGUGAAAUGCGUAGAGAUGUGGAGGAACACCAGUGGCGAAGGCGACUCUCUGGUCUGUAACUGACGCUGAGGAGCGAAAGCGUGGGGAGCGAACAGGAUUAGAUACCCUGGUAGUCCACGCCGUAAACGAUGAGUGCUAAGUGUUAGGGGGUUUCCGCCCCUUAGUGCUGCAGCUAACGCAUUAAGCACUCCGCCUGGGGAGUACGGUCGCAAGACUGAAACUCAAAGGAAUUGACGGGGGCCCGCACAAGCGGUGGAGCAUGUGGUUUAAUUCGAAGCAACGCGAAGAACCUUACCAGGUCUUGACAUCCUCUGACAAUCCUAGAGAUAGGACGUCCCCUUCGGGGGCAGAGUGACAGGUGGUGCAUGGUUGUCGUCAGCUCGUGUCGUGAGAUGUUGGGUUAAGUCCCGCAACGAGCGCAACCCUUGAUCUUAGUUGCCAGCAUUCAGUUGGGCACUCUAAGGUGACUGCCGGUGACAAACCGGAGGAAGGUGGGGAUGACGUCAAACCAUCAUGCCCCUUAUGACCUGGGCUACACACGUGCUACAAUGGACAGAACAAAGGGCAGCGAAACCGCGAGGUUAAGCCAAUCCCACAAAUCUGUUCUCAGUUCGGAUCGCAGUCUGCAACUCGACUGCGUGAAGCUGGAAUCGCUAGUAAUCGCGGACCAGCAUGCCGCGGUGAAUACGUUCCCGGGCCUUGUACACACCGCCCGUCACACCACGAGAGUUUGUAACACCCGAAGUCGGUGAGGUAACCUUUUAGGAGCCAGCCGCCGAAGGUGGGACAGAUGAUUGGGGUGAAGUCGUAACAAGGUA